CCUACGGGUGGCAGCAGUGAGGAAUAUUGGUCAAUGGACGAGAGUCUGAACCAGCCAAGUAGCGUGAAGGAUGACUGCCCUAUGGGUUGUAAACUUCUUUUAUAAAGGAAUAAAACGAGGCACGUGUGCCUUUUUGCAUGUACUUUGUGAAUAAGGAUCGGCUAACUCCGUGCCAGCAGCCGCGGUAAUACGGAGGAUCCGAGCGUUAUCCGGAUUUAUUGGGUUUAAAGGGAGCGUAGAUGGGUUGUUAAGUCAGUUGUGAAAGUUUGCGGCUCAACCGUAAAAUUGCAAUUGAUACUGGCAGUCGUGAGUACAGUUGAGGUAGGCGGAAUUCGUGGUGUAGCGGUGAAAUGCUUAGAUAUCACGAAGAACCCCGAUUGCGAAGGCAGCUUACUAAACUGUGACUGACAUUGAUGCUCGAAAGUGUGGGUAUCAAACAGGAUGAGAUACCCGAGUAGUC
rnacentral:rRNA from 1 species